GACGAACGCUGGCGGCGUGCUUAACACAUGCAAGUCGAACGGAAAGGCCCUGCUUUUGUGGGGUGCUCGAGUUGCGAACGGGUGAGUAACACGUGAGUAACCUGCCCUUGACUUUGGGAUAACUUCAGGAAACUGGGGCUAAUACCGGAUAGGAGCUCCUGCUUCAUGGUGGGGGUUGGAAAGUUUCGGCGGUUGGGGAUGGACUCGCGUCUUAUCAGCUUGUUGGUGGGGUAGUGGCUUACCAAGGCUUUGACGGGUAGCCGGCCUGAGAGGGUGACCGGCCACAUUGGGACUGAGAUACGGCCCAGACUCCUACGGGAGGCAGCAGUGGGGAAUAUUGCACAAUGGGCGGAAGCCUGAUGCAGCAACGCCGCGUGCGGGAUGACGGCCUUCGGGUUGUAAACCGCUUUCGCCUGUGACGAAGCGUGAGUGACGGUAAUGGGUAAAGAAGCACCGGCUAACUACGUG
rnacentral:rRNA from 1 species